rnacentral:rRNA from 1 species
UACAGAGGGGGCAGCGUUAUUCGGAAUUAUUGGGCGUAAAGGGCGCGUAGGCGGCUUUGCGUGUCUUUCGUGAAAUCCCUCGGCUCAACUGAGGACGUGCGGAAGAAACUGCAGGGCUGGAGUCCGGGAGAGGAGGGUGGAAUUCCCAGUGUGAGCGGUGAAAUGCGUAGAUAUUGGGAGGAACGACCGGUGGCGAAGGCGGCCCUCUGGACCGGUACUGACGGCUGAUGCGCGAAAGCGUGGGGAGCAAACGGG